rnacentral:rRNA from 1 species
UACGUAGGGGGCAAGCGUUGUCCGGAAUUAUUGGGCGUAAAGCGCGCGCAGGCGGCCUUGUAAGUCUGUCGUUUAAACUCGGAGCUCAACUUCGAGUCGCGAUGGAAACUGCAAAGCUUGAGUGCAGAAGAGGAAAGUGGAAUUCCACGUGUAGCGGUGAAAUGCGUAGAGAUGUGGAGGAACACCAGUGGCGAAGGCGACUUUCUGGGCUGUAACUGACGCUGAGGCGCUAAAGCGUGGGGAGCAAACAGG